GACGAACGCUGGCGGCGUGCUUAACACAUGCAAGUCGAACGGAAAGGCCCUGCUUUUGUGGGGUGCUCGAGUGGCGAACGGGUGAGUAACACGUGAGUAACCUGCCCUUGACUUUGGGAUAACUUCAGGAAACUGGGGCUAAUACCGGAUAGGAUCUCCUGCUGCAUGGUGGGGGUUGGAAAGUUUCGGCGGUUGGGGAUGGACUCGCGGCUUAUCAGCUUGUUGGUGGGGUAGUGGCUUACCAAGGCUUUGACGGGUAGCCGGCCUGAGAGGGGGACCGGCCACAUUGGGACUGAGAUACGGCCCAGAAUCCUACGGGAGGCAGCAGUGGAGAAUAUUGCACAAUGGGCGGAAACCUGAUGCAGCAACGCCGCGUGCGGGAUGACGGCCUUCGGGUUGUAAACCGCUUUCGCCUGUGACGAAGCGUGAGUGACGGUAAUGGGUAAAGAAGCACCGGCUAACUACGUG
rnacentral:rRNA from 1 species